AAUAAAAUAAAAAAAAAGAAAAGGAAAAGGUAAGGACAACGAAACUCAGUUCUCAAAACCUCACGCACGAAAUCUCUCUUCUCUCAAUCGCUACCAGCAAGCUCUCUCCAUCGCCCUCAAUGAAAUCGCUCCCUCAUCGCUCUCUCAAUCUCCAAUCUCACUCAAUCGCUCACUCCAUCGCUCUCAAUGUCUCUCUCUCGCCCAAACAUCAUGAAAGUUUGAAAGGAAGCUCACUUCGGUGAAUCGGUAGCUCAGGGUUUCGAAUUGGUACCUUGGGUUCCAAAAGAGUAUCUCUGUAAAACCCUUUUGAUGCUCAGAAAUUGGGUUGUCCUGUUUAUGCUAGAUUCGAAAAGUGAAUUUCUUGUAACAGGGAAGUUGUGGAUGAGGUUGAGGUUCAAGAAGGUUCUGCCGUUGCAUUGUGGAGAAUGAGGAACUAGCCACAUAGUAUAAGCGUGCUAGUAACAAGAAACCAUCCCGCGAUUGCCAGGAUAUACACAAGGACCUGCAUUCCGAAAACUGAGAACAGAAAUCCAAGAAUGUCAAAACUAGCAUAACUGCGGCUAUUAUGAUGAGCGUCAUCCUCACAGACUCUAAUAGAUCUUGAAUGUUGUCUGAAUUCUCCUUUUGAUUUUUCCUUUGGCUUUGGGGUAUUGACUGUCGUGAUUUGGUUUGAUCUUUGCAGGUUAUGGCUGGUGUGAACGGUUAUGGACCGGGGGCACAAUUGAAACAGGACGGGUACAUCUCGCUGCAAGAUGACCAAGACCUUGUUAAGCCAGCGGCACCAAUGAAAUUCCACACAUGCAUCAUGCUGUAAAAUACAUAUGUACCGGCAGGGUUAUCAAAUUAGACGAACCAGCCACCGUCUUAUUUUGCACCAUUUGGAACCAAAUCUCUCAGCUCCUUAAUUCGAUCUUGGAUCAGUUGCCUGUCUCUUGGCCGAGGUCUGCAACUUUCUCCGGGUCUAGCCCUCUUCUUGCUGUUCUUAGAUGGUUCAGAUGACCGUUAGAGUUGCUCACUACAAGCACUGGGAUGCCGUGAGAUAUGCAGAUGUCGGUGACAUUGCUAAUACCAUCAAAGAACGGGGCAUGAACAACAGGCUUGCCGAGCGUAUUCAAAAAUUCCUGAAGAGACUGGUUGAUGAUCAUGGAAGCAUUGACCUCGAGUGGCUGAGAGACGUUCCACAGAGAGUAUUUGCUGAGCGUAAGAGGACUGGGAUUGAAAAGUGUGGAGUAUGUGCGCCUGUUAACACUGGAUGAGAAAAGCUGAUAUCAUUGUCCGUUAUAGGUACCCAGUGUUGGAGUCCAUACAAAAGUAUCUCUGGUCUCGAUUGUGCAAGAUUUGGAAAGGCCUUCUGCACAAAAAGCAAACCAAAUUGCAAUGCAUGCCUAAGUGUUUUGCACAAGGUUGGUUUCCCGGUGCGCCGGCUAAUGAACAGACUCUUUUGCAAGGUAGCAUUGUAGCAGAAAUACUCCAGCCUGAACUUCGGGCUGCGGCGGCUAGAAGAAAUGCAGAAUUGUCAUGGCUUUGAGAUGCAGGGAACAACAUUUGGAGGAGGUUCCACGUUGUGAUUAGCAAAUAGUUUGCCGGCUUUUUCAUCAUCAUUUUUGCAGGAGGACAUGUGGAGAUUCCUCCAGGUCGUCGACAAAACAUGGAUCAGCACUAGCCUGUACGUGCCAAAACUCAGACAUGGACAUUCAUUACUGCUGUGGAUUGUUGUGAAGUUUGAAAGAUUCAUCCAGUUUGGAAUAAGGUCCACGAGAGGCGAAUCAAUGUUGAAGAAGGUGAAAUGCAGGUUUUGCUAUCUGAUCUUUCGAUUUCACUUUCACAUCUAAGAGUUGAUUGUUUUCUGAUAAACUCAACGCCUUCCCCGUAUACAAAUUCUCAUCUUGAAAAGCCGCAAGACUUUUCUGUAGCUGCAGCGCCUGAAUCUUUAACUCUAAUAACUGCUGUCGAACUCGCUUUGCAGACUCUUGGAAAUCUUGCAAUUUUUCAUCCAUAAUAAAGAAAACCUCUGUCAAAUGUUUCGGAAUCUAAAAUGCCAGACAACAGAUC